GGAGACUCUGUGCGCGUGCAUAUCAAUAAGCGGAGGAAAAGAAACUAACAAGGAUUCCCUUAGUAACGGCGAGUGAAGCGGGAAGAGCUCAAAUUUGAAAUCUUCAAGGUUUUACCUUGACGAAUUGUAGUUUAAAGAAGUGUUUUCUGUUGAAGUUUUGGUAAAAGUUCUUUGGAAUAGGACAUCAUAGAGGGUGAGAAUCCCGUAUUUGACCAUUAUUUUCAGCUGUGUGAUACACUUUCAAAGAGUCGGAUUGUUUGGGAAUGCAGUCCAAAAUGGGUGGUAAAUUUCAUCUAAAGCUAAAUAUUGGCGAGAGACCGAUAGCGAACAAGUACCGUGAGGGAAAGAUGAAAAGAACUUUGAAAAGAGAGUUAAACAGUACGUGAAAUUGUCAAAAGGGAAGCGUUUGACACCAGUGUUGUUUUCUCGAAAAUCAAUUAAAAAAAGUUGGAUUUUGUGUUGUAUUGACCUUAACAGCUUGCUUCACUCUUUUCCUGCUUUUUUUAAUGCACUUUUCGUUUAACAAGUCAACAUCAGUUUCUUUUGUUGUAAAAGGGUCAUUGGAAGGUGGCUUUCUCUUCGGAGAAAGUGUUUAUAGCCUUUGAUCUCUGCAAUCGGAGAGACUGAGGUCUGCAGCGUAGAUCCUUCGGGGUUAGAUACAUUUGUGCUAAGUUACAGCUUUUCAUAGACAACUUGUUGACUAUGUUUAGUCAUGUGACUUACUCGCUUAUGCUAUUUUACCUACGCUUAGGAUGUUGAAUCUGUGCGAGACUAC
rnacentral:rRNA from 1 species